AAUACACCCUACGCAAAAGAACAGGAGAGAAAAGGACGGAGAUAGACCUCUCUCUCAGAUCCGAAAAUCAUAAGAUUGGUCGAAGAGUCUUUCCGAAAGCUGAAAAUGUGCGUCAAGUUUUUCAGUGAAAAUACCUAAAACACCGCUUAAAACAUGUUUAAAAACAUUUUUAAAAUCAAAUCAAUUUAUAACAAUGCAUUACGUUCAGGUUACAACAAUUUUCAAUGCAAUGUUGAACAUUUUGUACUGCGAUGAGGAUCAACAGAACUUUCACGAUAACCCCAUACGAAAGAAGCGAGAGAGAAGGACGGAGAAGGAUCUGUCAAACGUGUUUGUUAGGUUGGAAAGCUGGUCGCAUGCUGAUGAUCGCGCUUCUGGUAAGUUUGCCAAAAAUAUGCAUAAUUUUAACACAUUUUGUUGGUUUUCCAUUCUUUACAGAUCAUUUAUCAGAUACAGCAGCAGAGCCCGAACGAUUCGUCGUGAUCUGGUGAGUAAUUAAACUGAUAUUUGGACGAUCAAGUCCGAUGCCGUACCAUUGCCUCUUUCCAGAAUGUUCCGGUACAUGCAUCGCCAGGAGAUCGGAAAACGCUGUGAAAACGUUUUACGCCCUCCGAGAGCUGCGAGCCGUGAGUAAGCGGUAUGUGUGAAUGUGUGCCGUCCAUGCGAACGGCCCGUCUAUGGGAACGUACUUUUCGGUCCUUAUACGGCCAACGAAGGAAGGAAGCAUUGUAAGGAUGAGGUAUGUUUGGUGCUAGUGUUAUGUGAUUGAGUUUUAAAAAAGUGUGAAUAAAUAUUAUCAAAAAUGAAA